rnacentral:rRNA from 1 species
GACGAACGCUGGCGGCGUGCCUAAUACAUGCAAGUAGAACGCUGAAGGAGGAGCUUGCUCUUCUGGAUGAGUUGCGAACGGGUGAGUAACGCGUAGGUAACCUGCCUGGUAGCGGGGGAUAACUAUUGGAAACGAUAGCUAAUACCGCAUAAUAGUAGAUGUUGCAUGAUAUUUACUUAAAAGGUGCAAUUGCACCGCUACCAGAUGGACCUGCGUUGUAUUAGCUAGUUGGUGGGGUAACGGCUCACCAAGGCGACGAUACAUAGCCGACCUGAGAGGGUGAUCGGCCACACUGGGACUGAGACACGGCCCAGACUCCUACGGGAGGCAGCAGUAGGGAAUCUUCGGCAAUGGACGAAAGUCUGACCGAGCAACGCCGCGUGAGUGAAGAAGGUUUUCGGAUCGUAAAGCUCUGUUGUAAGAGAAGAACGAGUGUGAGAGUGGAAAGUUCACACUGUGACGGUAUCUUACCAGAAAGGGUCGGCUAACUACGUG